rnacentral:rRNA from 1 species
CUAAUUCCGUGCCAGCAGCCGCGGUAAUACGGGAGUGGCAAGCGUUAUCCGGAAUUAUUGGGCGUAAAGCGUCCGCAGGCGGCCUUUCAAGUCUGCUGUUAAAACGUGGAGCUUAACUCCAUCAUGGCAGUGGAAACUGUUGGGCUUGAGUGUGGUAGGGGCAGAGGGAAUUCCCGGUGUAGCGGUGAAAUGCGUAGAUAUCGGGAAGAACACCAGUGGCGAAGGCGCUCUGCUGGGCCAUAACUGACGCUCAUGGACGAAAGCCAGGGGAGCGAAAGGGAUUAGAUACCCCUGUAGUCCUGGCCGUAAACGAUGAACACUAGGUGUCGGGGGAAUCGACCCCCUCGGUGUCGUAGCCAACGCGUUAAGUGUUCCGCCUGGGGAGUACGCACGCAAGUGUGAAACUCAAAGGAAUUGACGGGGGCCCGCACAAGCGGUGGAGUAUGUGGUUUAAUUCGAUGCAACGCGAAGAACCUUACCAGGGUUUGACAUCCUGCGAAUCUCUUGGAAACGAGAGAGUGCCCUCGGGAACGCAGUGACAGGUGGUGCAUGGCUGUCGUCAGCUCGUGUCGUGAGAUGUUGGGUUAAGUCCCGCAACGAGCGCAACCCACGUCUUUAGUUGCCAGCAUUUAGUUGGGCACUCUAGAGAGACCGCCGGUGAUAAACCGGAGGAAGGUGUGGAUGACGUCAAGUCAUCAUGCCCCUUACAUCCUGGGCUACACACGUACUACAAUGCUACGGACAAAGAGCAGCAAGUUCGCGAGGACAAGCAAAUCUCAUAAACCGUGGCUCAGUUCAGAUCGUAGGCUGCAACUCGCCUACGUGAAGGAGGAAUCGCUAGUAAUCGCACGUCAGCAUACUGCGGUGAAUACGUUCCCGGGCCUUGUACACACCGCCCGUCACA